AACGAACGCUGGCGGCAUGCCUAACACAUGCAAGUCGAACGAGACCUUCGGGUCUAGUGGCGCACGGGUGCGUAACGCGUGGGAAUCUGCCCUUGGGUUCGGAAUAACAGCGAGAAAUUGCUGCUAAUACCGGAUGAUGACGUAAGUCCAAAGAUUUAUCGCCCAAGGAUGAGCCCGCGUAGGAUUAGCUAGUUGGUGAGGUAAAGGCUCACCAAGGCGACGAUCCUUAGCUGGUCUGAGAGGAUGAUCAGCCACACUGGGACUGAGACACGGCCCAGACUCCUACGGGAGGCAGCAGUGGGGAAUAUUGGACAAUGGGGCGAAAGCCUGAUCCAGCAAUGCCGCGUGAGUGAUGAAGGCCUUAGGGUUGUAAAGCUCUUUACCCGGGAUGAUAAUGACAGUACCGGGAGAAUAAGACUCCGGCUAACUCCGUGCCAGCAGCCGCGGU
rnacentral:rRNA from 1 species